rnacentral:rRNA from 1 species
AUGGACAAGAUGCUGGCUUUUUCAAUCCUCAGCUCGUCGCCGGCAGAUAUCGCUGGUGCAGGGUACGGCACACGCUUGUCCUGGCGGAGCGGCGGCGGGAAACAGGUGACGGAGAAGAAGACGCAGCAGGAUGAGAAGGUGGAGCAGAGCACGCGGCCAGAGAGGAAGCCGGAGACCAGGCCGACCCGAUUCGCGCCCGAGUUCCACGGCCUCAACUGCUUCGAGAUCAUUUGUUGA